rnacentral:pre_miRNA from 1 species
UUAGGUUUUCUUCAUUUUCUUCUGAGAUUUUUGUUGUUGAAGGUUGAUGGAGAUGAUAUGAAAAUGAAAAAUAAGAGAAG